CUAGAGGACCUCAACUAUUCUGUGAACUGUAAUCAAUUUAUUCCACUACUAGGUAAAUGGGUGGCAUUAUUUAUUGUUUCAUUAUUUGGAGAGUUACAAAUUGAAUUCAGCAUUUUAAUGUAAUACUAGUAUUAUGAAUGCAGAAUUCUCAUAUAAAACCUACCCGAGUCGAACACUACGGUAAUUAAAGUACUCCCGGACAAGGGCAUGUUUGCAUGGACCCUGCCUGCAUGAUCCUUAUCCAUAUGUUUUUAUUUAUAAUUACUUUUUAAUUAAAAAUCAAAAGAUUCACCUAACUCCAUACAUACAUACAUACAUACAUACAUACAUACAUAUGAUGAUCGAUCUGUCAUAAAUAUCUUCUUUUGAUAUAAAUAUAUAUUAGUCGGAAAAAUCUCUUAGAUAUUAUUAUCCCUGUAUGUAUCCCUUCCCCCUUGCCUUGCCUUGCCUCUCUCAAAUUCCAAUGACAUAAUUAAUUUUAAUCUCAGUUCGUUUUAUCAUCCCAAUUAGUUAAACAAAGAUUUACAAAUGGCUAAUAGGUCAUGUUGCAAUUAAUCUGGUAAUAAGACAUGAUCUGUGAACUGUGAUCAAUUUAUUCCACUACUAGGUAAAUGGGUGGCAUUGUUUAUUGUUUCAUUAAUGGUUUAUUAGUCCAAAUAGGAAUUCACUAGGAUCAAUUUGCAAAGGGCAUAACCAAGAACUCCCCUUAUAGAAUGAGAUGAGCUACCAGAUUACUGGGAGUAUAUUUGUGUCUCAAAAAUAAAAAUAAAAACAAAAACAAGGAACAUGGAGUAGAACUCUAUAUAGAAAGUAAGAUUAGUGCUAUACAAUCUCAGGUAAAUCAAAGUCCAAACAUAUAAAAAGAUUUUAUAAUCUCAGGUAAAUCAAAGUCCAAACAUAUAAACAAUCAUAUUUUAAUAUAAAACUGAGAAUGAGUAUACUUGCCUCUGCUGCGACCUUCUUUGCAUAUAGCAAAUCUGCUUUAUUACCAGCAAGUGCCAUAACCAUGUUUGAAUUGCCUUAAGAAAAAUGAAAGAACAAAGAGAAGGAAUAAGUAAUUUGGAAAAUACAAAGGUUCCUAAACUUACCACUUUAUCAGUACAUGGUGGCUUUACAAUUUCUUGAGGUAAAAUUACUUUUUGUUGAUUCAAAACUUCCUGCACCUCUUCAAUUCCACCAUGUUGCUCACUCCCAUGGACAGUUUCUUCAGGUAAAUCAACAAUCUCCAGUUUCUCAAGAAAAUACAUGCGCCUGAAAAAUGCCAACAUUCAGUAGAAAUUAAAUGAAAUUAAAUGGAACUCAGAUUUUACUACAAGAUUUAAAUUAUAGUUUAACCAAAUCAUAGGAAUAAUGAAAAGCUACCAUGUAGUAAUUGAAAAAUGAUCCUCCAUUUUCUAUGAAUCGAGCAACUGCAAAUGCCAAAUCCUGAACUAGUCUCUGAUGUAUUGGGAUUCCAAACUCGGUAAACCUUGUCAUUUGAUAAAGUUAAUAGGAUAAAUGACAAUUUUUAACUAGUAGUUUCAGACGAUUACAGAAUCACAAACAUACAUAGCAUCCACUCCAAGCCUCAGUCCAAAUAGGGGGUUUGUAGGGUCUAUUAGGGGAGAAAGCAUCACAAUAGAAGCCAUUGCAUGUAUUUAUCAGCAGCAGUGAUAGCAAAUAAUUACAAAUGAUUUUGCUGACAAUUAAAAGAAGGUGCUUUAUAGCGAUAAUCUCAACCCUUCCAAACCAAUAUUUAAAUAAGUACUAGUAUUAGCUAUCUACAUUAUUUCAGAUAUGUAAUUAAUGUCAAAAGAAGAAUGAUCAAAUGUUUCGGGAGCUAAAAUUGCACCGAGAAACCUUUUUCCCUCUGUUGAUUUCCCAUCCAAUCGCAUUAGGAAUAUGUUGAUGAUCUUUCCAUGCUACAAAUUUUUUUAUUUCAUAUACAGCAAAACAAUUGUAGAAAGCUAACUCAGCCGUAGAAAUAGAAUAAUAUUUAUCAGAACAGAGGUGUUACGCAAUUUCUGCCACUCUCUACCUUGUGAAACAGAUAUCAAGGCUUCCCCAACCAGGGACAAACCCUAAUCAGCAAAUCCACGGUUCUCGCGAUAGCAAUAAAAAUAACAUUGAAUUUUGAGCAGAAAUAAAUGAAGUUAUUACAGAAAUAAAUAAAAAUAACUAUAAAUUUUGAGUAGAAAUUACAUAACAAUAAAAAAAAUAUUGAAAAGAACUUUCAAAUUAGAGCAGGGAAAUCAAACCAGUAGUAGAAGUUUCAAAUUAGUGCAAAUGCUUCUGAAGUGGAUCGAGUCAUAAAGAAAGUAGGUGUAAAUUUGAUAUGGAAUGAAUCAAAUGCACUAAAACUAUCCUAUCAGACAAACAGCAGGCAAAUACAUACUCAAAACAAUCUUUGGGUAAUAAUUUAAUUAACUCGAACUGGACACCACCAAGGAAGAUUAUUAACACUAUAGCAUACCUUCUCCAUGAAUCUCAACAGGUCGGUUUAUGUAUGAGAUUUUAUCCCAGCUAUCAAAAUAAGGUCCAUCUUCCUUUAUGUUCAGGUUGCAACAAGGGCAACAACUUUAAUCAAUCAAGCGAGUUCACCCUUCCCUCCUGUUUCUUCCUUCACUCGUGAUGUCGUGCAAUAAAGUCUUCAGUCUUGUAAUUGAUGUAAACAUCAGCCCCAAGAUCCUUGCAAACUGCUAAGUCAGCGUACUCGCCAUAAUGUUUUUUCAUAUAU
rnacentral:lncRNA from 1 species